rnacentral:rRNA from 1 species
UGUGGUUAAUUCGAUGCAACGCGAAGAACCUUACCUGGUCUUGACAUCCCGGAGACCCUUAGGAAACUAGGGGUGCUCCAUCUGGAAGAAUCUGGAGACAGGUGCUGCAUGGCUGUCGUCAGCUCGUGUCGUGAGAUGUUGGGUUAAGUCCCGCAACGAGCGCAACCCUUGCCUUAGUUGCCAGCAGUUCGGCUGGGCACUCUAAAGAGACUGCCGGUGUUAAACCGGAGGAAGGUGGGGAUGACGUCAAGUCCUCAUGGCCUUUAUGACCAGGGCUACACACGUACUACAAUGGCCGAUACAAAGGGCAGCGACACUGCGAGGUGAAGCCAAUCCCGUAAAAUCGGUCUCAGUCCGGAUUGGAGUCUGCAACUCGACUCCAUGAAGUUGGAAUCGCUAGUAAUCGUGGAUCAGCGUGCCACGGUGAAUACGUUCCCGGGCCUU